rnacentral:lncRNA from 1 species
GGAGGCAAAUGAUAUGGCUUGGAUUUUUUUGCUUAACUGGGGCUUGAAAAUGAGGGGCGAGUAAUGUGGCUCAGAUUUGUUAUCCUUUGAAAUUUCGCUUGCCAACUCAGCUCUCUAACUAGAUAUCGACAUAUGUCUUAUAGAAUCAAUGACCAAUCAAAUCUCCAAAUUAUUAGCAUGAUAACAACACAAUCGGUUACAACUCGAUGUGGUCUUAGCACCCUAAAUUGGUAGAUAAGGAAAAAGUUUGUAAAUUGUACAAUCCUAACCA